CCGGGGCGUGGCCCGAUGGCGGGGCGCGGCGGGCUCCCUCGGGGUCCCGGCGGGCGGGCACUCGGCGGCCGCGGCGCGAUGGAGGCGCCGGCCGAACUGCUGGCUGCGUUGCCGGCGCUGGCCACGGCGUUGGCACUGCUGCUCGCCUGGCUGCUGCUGCGGCGUGGGCCGGCCCCGGAAUGCGCGUCCCCGACCGAGGCCCCCGGGGCUCCCGCGCCGCCUGAGCCUCCCGAGCCCUGCGCCCCGGAGCCCGCACCCGCGGGGCCGCGCCAGCCCGAGGGCAAGGCGGAGCUGGGGGAACCCGCGGCAGAGGAGCCUGCGGACGAGGGGAGGCAGGAUGAAGAGCAAGACUCAGACAGUGAGACGGGGCCGCCCACUGAAGAGCCCGAGGAAGAGGAUGGAGCGGCCUUCUCCUUUAAGUACAGCCCUGGGCAGCUGAGGGGAAGCCAGUACAAGAAGAUGAUGACCAAAGAAGAGUUGGAGGAGGAGCAGAGGAUUGAGCUGACCUCUGACCUCACCUCCCUGUAGCGAGUCCUUUAGUCCCGGGGGCCAUGAAUGUCCUUGCAAACCCUUGUGGUAAGGAGAACGGAAGAAUAAUGAAGGUGUCCUUAGCCUCCUCCUGAAGGCUUUCUUUCCUUUUAACAUCUUAAAAGCUUGAUUAAAAACAAACAAACAAAAAAGCUGGGCGGUGGUGGCGCACGCCUUUAGUCCCAGUACUAGGGAGGCAGAGGCAGGCGGAUCUCUGUGAGUUCGAGGCCAGCCUGGUCUACAGAGCAAGUGCCAGGACAGGCUCCAAAGCCACAGAAAAACCCUGUCUCGAAAAACCAAACAAACAAACAGGAACCCCCCAGGGAGGAGCCCAUGCAGCCUUGGGGUGGUUGGGGGAGAGUUUGUCUGCAAAUCUGCUGACAUGUUGGGGAGGGGGUUGCCAAGACGAUGGGCUCGGCCUUGGGCUUUCCUUACCAGCCAUGUUUGCCCCCGACACCCUGCUCACACAACCCGCCUGGGCUUUUGUUCUCACGGAAGCCAAAUCACCAGAUCUGAGAAGAGACAGACAAGUAAGGUGAAGCCCACGAGUGCUGACAAAGAUGGUCACACACACCCUAGGGUGCUUUCCUCUUUCUGGCAGGGAUGAUUCAUGCCAGGUACUGGCUUUAAUUUGGCCCCCCUUUUUGCCCCCGCCCCCACCCCAUCCCUGGAGUCUUGGGUCCAAUCGUCUUGGUACUAAGAGGCCUUUUCACUAGUGUUCUUCCAGACCAGCCUCGUCUCCACGUUCGUUUGCAAUAGCAGUAUUAGCUUCCAGUAGACUUCUGGGUUGUGGGAUUGUGUAUUUCCUAGGCUUUUCCUAGAUGACUUUGAACCUCACCAGAUAAUCACCCAACAGCCCCAGGUUAGUUUUUCAGAAUUUUAUAUUUGACAGUAUUUAUACUAUAUACCAAACAACUCUGAAGUCUUAGACUUGUUGAUGAAAACAUGUUUUUUUCUUCUAAAGUGCUAAGUUUUUAGAAGACUUUCCAUUUAAUAGAAAGCUGGAAAAAUGUCCAGCAUCGACUCCUAAGCCGCGCGUGCCUGGCGGCCUUCUCCCAUGCCUAAAAACUUGGGUUCGGGGCUCAGGGCUGAACAGGCAGUAUGGCAACUCACACAACUCGAUGCCUUUGAACACGGAGCCACGUGACCAACAGAGUCCCACUCACUUGUUCCUGAAUAGCAAUAGUGAAGUUCCUGUCUAGACUGGGAUUUCCUCCUCACAGGGGAGUGAGCUCUGGAUACCCUUAGUUAGGCCUGUGUGGAAACAUGGUUUUGGGAGCACAAGCCCCUCACGCUCCUGGCGGCUUGGCUCGCUGUGGAAAGCCUGUGUUCCCGCCAAUAAAAUGUCAAGUAGA